rnacentral:lncRNA from 1 species
GGAGUCGGCACAGCCAGGGUGGUUAAGGUGUUCUUGCCUUCUGUCACCAUUGGGCUUGUCCCAGAAAGCUCGAACAAGAUUGCCUCAAUAGACUCCUUUGCUUCUUUCUUUCUUGAAGCACGCGUAACCCUCUUUCUUGCAUUUCAGAGAGUGUUCUUGGACUCUGUUUUCUUCAAUUGGGUCUUGACUACUAUAGGAGUGACAUGAGGUCUGGCAUUCUGAAUGGGCUUUGGAACAGUCGCUCUCACCAAUAAUGAAAGUCUUUUUGAAUCCCACUCGUUUGGUG